GUUGGAAAUGUUCGCGUCGCAGGUUUGGUCGUUCUUCAUUCGCUGCAGUGCAUAGUUUUUUUCUUUUGUGUUUUUGAAGAUUUUCAUCAGUGAAUUUAAUGCAUUUUUUUCGUUUUCUAAUGGUACGAAAACAAGUGGAUAUUUAUCAAAACAAUAGUGUUUGAAUUUGGAUUUAUUAGUUUGUAGAGCGGUCCGAGUUGAAAUCAAUUUUGAUUUAGUUGUCUUCUGACCCCAGAGGAAAGUUUGCCGCAGCCAGCAGACAUGUUUUCAUUUUCUGAAAAUAAUUUUCCGGUCCAAGUAGCAAAUAAAAAUGGUUACAUGAGAAGCCGUGGAGAAUGUUAACAAAACUCAACUGGGUGGUUUGAUUGCAAUGCAGUGAUUUUGCAUUUGGAGAGUAGAUAUUGAUUUGGUGAAAUUUUCCCGUCAUUCAGAACUGCUAGACAAGCAGAGUGAAAAUAGGUGGAAAAAAGUUGCACAAAAGAUUACGCCUACCGAGGCUGUGUUGGUGCGUCAAUGAAUCAAACGUGAACAAGUGUGCGUGAUAGUACGUCAGACAGGAUAAACGUAAGGAAGACCAGAAAGGAUAUCCAGUUUAUGUACACAACAUCAAUAGGCAGUCAACAGCAUAAGCAUUGAAUGAAAGCAUAGACAAAGCCGAGAUCUGUGCUUUGCUGAUUGCUUUUUUGCGUGCUGACAUCGUGGAACGCGCACCGUGAAACCUGGUCGGAUCGAAAGUGAUCACCGACAACGAAUGGAAGGAAAAGUUGCGAUUAUCGACGAAUGUGCCCACCGAGAAAAGGUCAUUUCCGCGUGGUCGUUUUAGGAAAUCAUAAUAUCAUCUGUGCAUAUCAUUUGACAACGUGGUAUUGUUUUGAUCAAUCGAGUGUAACUAUUGCAUCGUCGCCGGCGAAUUUCAAUCAGUAGAGGAUUUUACCUGCGAUUUGGAAAAUAAGAGACCAGCUGUGCCGAACGGAGUGAAAAUCGAAGAGAAAGUGUGAAAACAAACAUACGUCUUUUUUUAGACGGCGUUCGGCCGUUAGCGUGGUGCAGUGUACGGUGGAUAAUGAGUGGUAAAAGCAGCGCCCAGAAUUGGUGAACUAGACGAAGAAGAUGGAAAAUGUCGAUAGUUUCCUAUCAGGUCUUAUUAAAAUCGUGCUUCGCGACGCGAGCGUGGAAGAAAUAGGGCUUUAAUCGAUUUUUCGCGGUAUAUUUAUCAGCUUUACGAAGAAAAUAGUUCAUACCGAAUUGCAGAGCUCCCAUCACUGAAGUGCUUUCGAUACUGAGAAGACUGUUUUAGAUCGCCUUCUCGGCCGAGAGAAAUGCACUCGAGCAUUAGCAUACAUAAACAAACACACAUACUUGAAAACAUGGAUAUUGGGAUGGAGCGCAACGAGGGAGGUGCCACGAUUGGCACCCUUUUCCAGCACAUUGUCAACGACAUGAAGAAUUCCAGUCCACUCUGGGAAGAUUUUAUUGCGAAAGCCACGAAACUGCACGCUUGCUUACGAGCUGCAAUACAGGCGUUAGCGGUAUACUUGGAAGCAUUCCAGAAAAUCGCCGAUGCUGCUACAAACUCUAAAGGUGCCACCAAAGAAAUUGGUACCGCACUGACACGGGUAUGCUUGCGGCACAAGGCAGUCGAAACGCGGAUGAAAACCUUCACCGCUGCCAUCAUGGACUGCUUGAUUGUGCCGCUGCAGGAGAAACUGGAAGACUGGAAGAAACAGGUAGCCAUCAUAGAUAAAGAUCAUGCCAAAGAAUACAAACGCUGCCGGGCCGAGCUGAAAAAACGCUCCAGUGAUACACUGCGAUUGCAGAAGAAAGCCAAGAAGGGUCAAACCGAUAAUUUGCACAUUCUGGUGGAGUCUUCCAUGCAGGACGUGACGCUGAGGCGGAGUGAGCUCGAGGAGGUCGAACGGAAGUCGCUCCGCUCCAUCAUGGUCGAAGAGCGGUCACGUUACUGCACCUUUGUAAAUAUGCUACAGCCCGUGGUGCACGAAGAGUGUGAAGUGAUGUCAGAACUAAGUCACCUGCAAGAAGCAAUGCAAAUAAUAGCAGUAGUCACGAAAGAUCCAACAGUCCUGCCCCAAGCUUCGGAAGAGCUUAUUCUUGAGUCAAAAACGAAUAUUAAUCUUUACCCGGACUCACCAGGUGGGUCAAAUUCUCAGGGAGCUUGCUCGAACUCGUUAGGAUCUCGAAAAAGUUCCGUAUGUUCAAUCAGCUCCAUCAACAGCAGCAGUAGUGGUUCCCCUGGGCACCAAUUCCAAAGAUCUCUAUCGCAGUACUCUCCGGCGAUACGUUUGAAACCAGGUGAAUCUAGUGAUAGCGGAUUUUGUUCUUCGCCAGCUUUAACUUCACAGGCAUCCACACUCGCUAGUCAGUCACAUGCGGUUUCGACGUGGCCACCGCAUACGCAGGACGGCAGCACCUCCGCCGAUCGACCGCACACAAUAUCGUCAGCAUACGAAAAAGGCCAUCAGCGGCCGGCACUAACCGUCUACACGUUCCAAAAUCCUGAAGCGAUAUCGGAAAACCAAAAAUCUCCCGCCAACAUAGCGUGCCGGCCGCCACUUCCAGUUCGAUGUUCAUCCCUCGAAAGGCCUCUAUCAACAGCUUCCGUAAAGAAUUCCAAUCCAAAUGCUCCGCGACAAUGUCCAUCACCAAUUCCUGCCCACAUUACCAAAGAACACCCUCAAUUACAACCCACCUACGUCAAUAUGACGGAACUGGCAUCGAUGGCUGCCUCAAGGAGUACUAACAAUAAUAAUCAAAUCGCAACUAACCAGCCACAGUCGUCUAUGGCACAAACCCCAGUGCAGCAGCCCCAACAGAUGGGAUACCAACAACUGCAGCAGCCAAAUUCUCCAGUACUGUCGUCGGCAUCUUCGCUUAUAUCGCCGGAUUCGAGUGCAACCAAUGCCAUCAGUUCGCCGGAUGUAUCCGCCUGCAGUACCCAAACACCUCAAAAUACGCCUCAGACUGGUUCACCGCAGACGCCUAUCUACAGUAGUAGUUCGAUGAUUGUUCCUCUAGUCAGCGCACACAACAGUACCGAUGAAAACGGUGGUGGUAUGAGCACGGCUAACGGUGAUGGAUGUGGGCCUCUUUUGAUAGCCGUCGAUGGAAUCGCAAAUCCAAAAGAUGUAGCUGCUGGCGGAAAUGAAAAUAAAGAUAUCCUUAAAUGUACCGGUUCAGUUUUAGAGAAAACGUCGAUGUUCGAGCAGCAGAUAAACAACAAUCAAAAUACGCCCUCGCGAAGCGAACCUAUCUACGGGCGAAAGGGUGAAGACAUUUACAAAACCACGGGUCUUCUGUCGGAACGCGAUGCAGAUCGGAUCGACAAAGAGACCAUAGAGGAGCUAAAUAAUCUAAUCGGUGAACUAGACCUAUUUCAAAAAGAGCACGAACUUCGCUUGGGAGAAUCGUCACCACCUUCCAAUCACAUGCGGGAGAACGGUCUGAUCUAUUCUAAUCACAACAACAAUGGGAACCUGUCGUCGAACAAUAGUGAUUCGGCAGGCAGCGAUCGAAACGACAAAAUAUCAAUCUCCAGUUCGAUGAACAUCGAAGGGAUAAACAUGUCAUUCAACAGCACCUCGUUAGGAAGUGAGAUUCCUUUUGACCACAGCGAUGAUACGAGCAGGUUAAACUCGGAGCUACCGGGCUCCGAUUCUGUGGAUUAUUCCAAUACAGGGUUUGAAAAUCCGUCAUUCAUGCAUCUGAACGAUUCGGAGAUUGUUGUGAUGCGGCAGAACACUUUCGGCAGAAUUGACCCUGAAAACUAUUACAGUCAAAACAUGAGUGAAGUUGUCGUAUUACGAUGCAAAGAUAUUGCCAAGCCAGAUGCAAAUCGGAUAGAGGAUACUGCGAGUGUCGACAGCCAGCAGAGACUGAGUUCAUUCAAGUUGAAUUCCAGAUCAGCGUCGCCAGCACUUUCCUCAUUUGCUGUGUCGCGAUCCCCAACGCCAUCACUGUCGAUGCCGCAAUCAAAUGCAACAACUCCCACGAUGGCGUCACCGCAGCAUAAUAUUGCUAUCAGCAUCUAUAAUAAUAAUAACCACAACAGUAACCAUGUGAUAAAUCUACACCAACAACAGCAUCAGCAGCAGCACUUCACCAACGGUAAUGAGAAAUGCUCGUUGAUCUCCAUGCCUUCUGAUGAGCGUAUUAAUAGAAUUAAGCCAGCAAUCACGCCACGACCCGCAUCAUUAUCUGGACCCAACCGUGUUGCCAGACGGUCAUCCGUGAAUACGGUGAAACCACCGCCACCCGUAAGACGAAGUUCCAGUGUGACGCCCAGUCCCAAUAUAGCAAUGGCUUCACCGAACUUGGUCCAGCAAAGUGUUGCGUAUACGUCAUCGGAAAGUUUACCACCUCCCCCUGCUUAUCUUCUUGAUAGCACAACUGGAAACUCACUCAUUCCAGGCAAUGUAGCGGGCACUGUAAAAGCACUCAAUGAAAUCCGGCACAAACCCGCCAGUCCUGGUGUUCUGAGGCGUGCCCAACAGAAUCUACCAAGCCAACAAACCCCUACUUCGUCCACCUCCCGAAGUACGAAAUCAUCGUCCCAUCAGCAAAGCAUUUAUGCACAACCCAAGCAAAUUACAAGUAUGUCGAGCUUCCGAACAGCAAGUCCAGGUCCGCAAAAGCAAAGCACAGGCUUCCUAGCGCAAUUGAACGCUAGAAUUGCCCCCAAUAAGCCUCAACCACCAGCAUCUCCGCAGCACCAUCAGCAACAACAGUCAUUCACCUAUACAAGCGCGCCGUCUAACGAACCCGCCUAUCAGAAGAGUGGCCAAGCGGAUCAGCGAUCAGCAUACAGCGCCAGUCAUCCACCGCAUCAAUCCCCACAUGGGAUCUAUUCAUCUGGAUCCCAACAUGCAUCUGCUCAUCAGCAGCAACAGUCCCAUUAUCAUCAGCAUCAGCAGUCAUCGCAUCCACCUCCAGUCAGUCAACGAGACGAUCGUAGUAACAGUGCCAGUAAUGCGAAUUCAAAUAAUGUUCUCGCAAAAACUAGUGCAGGUUUUUUGGAAAACCUAAACGCCAGGCUAGCAGAGCAACGACUAUCCGGGAAGGCUUUUGCCGUGCGAAACCUCAUCAAUAGCAAAGCACUGGACGACGAUCACUACCAUAGUUACUAUCAGAAUGUUUGAUCAUGUAAAAAAUAAAGUUCAGCCGAUCAAGAUACCUUAAAGUAUGGUAGUUUAAAUGCUUCAACUCGUAAGCCUGACCCUCGAUUAUGUCACGAAUCUCUAAUGGAUCAAAUCAAGCGUGGUGCGACGCUGAAACGCAAUCGAACGAUCAACGACCGGAGUGCGCCGAAAAUCCACUAAUCACUCGUAUCACACCGGAGAGCGAAUAAUCAUCAGGUCAGAUGAGAAUCUGUUCACAAGAGGUAAACGUAGAGUAGAACAUGUAAGUAUGUGUUCUGUGCGUUCGAUCAUAUCAGAUCCACAACUCAAGGCCCGUUUGUAGAUUGCACUAUUAUUGCAAUCCGCUCGAGUUAACAGCUGAAAACUAUCCUGAUAAUAUAAAAAUACACACAUAUUUCGUCCAAAGUAGGAAGAAAAGUAAAGGAACAGAAACCUGUAUUUUCCUUUGUUUCAGUUAAGUUAUAUUAUUUGUUAUUUUUUAUCGCCAGUCGAAGCAGAGAAGAAACAUCGCUGAAAAGGUAGGAUUUAGCAGAGGAAUUCUUUGAAGAACUGAUUGUAAUCAAAAUAUUUUUUUAUUAAAAUUCAACAACGUAAUAACCGUGAAUAAAUGGAAGUUAAUUAUACA